rnacentral:rRNA from 1 species
UACGUAGGGUGCGAGCGUUAAUCGGAAUUACUGGGCGUAAAGCGUGCGCAGGCGGUUUUUCAAGUCUGAUGUGAAAGCCCCGGGCUUAACCUGGGAACUGCGUUGGAAACUGAAAGACUAGAGUGCGGCAGAGGGGGGUAGAAUUCCCGGUGUAGCAGUGAAAUGCGUAGAGAUCGGGAGGAACAUCUGUGGCGAAGGCGGCCACCUGGACCAGCACUGACACUGAGGCACGAAAGCGUGGGGAGCAAACAGG